GACAGCAGCCGCCGCGGUAAUACGAAGGUCCCAAGCGUUGUUCGGAAUCACUGGGCGUAAAGGGAGCGUAGGCGGCGUGGUAAGUCAGAUGUGAAAUCCCGGGGCUCAACCCCGGAACUGCAUCCGAUACUGCCAUGCUUGAGGGUUGGAGAGGUAGCUGGAAUUCUCGGUGUAGCAGUGAAAUGCGUGGAUAUCGAGAGGAACACUCGUGGCGAAGGCGAGCUACUGGACAACAUCUGACGCUGAGGCUCGAAGGCUAGGGUAGCGAAAGGGAUUAGAUACCCGAGUAGUCCCUGUCUCUUAUAU
rnacentral:rRNA from 1 species